rfam:Picea glauca, whole genome shotgun sequence.
ACAUGCCUACAACAUAGUGUUAAUGCAUCAAAGCCCAUUAGAACUUCGUAAUUAAGCACACUCAGGCUAGAGUAGUACUGGGAUGAGUGACCGCUCGAGAAGUCCUAGUGUUUUACAUGCC